GGCUGCCGUGGCCCUUUUAAAAAGCAGAGCCGCGGAGGAGCCGGGUCUUAGCACACACCAAUGAGAAGCCCCGUUCGGCAUCCGCCCCUCCCACCCCCUCCAGAGGUCAAAAGUCUUACUGUGGACUGUACGGUUGGCCGUGGUUGCUCCGCUUGCCCGCCAGCUGCCCAGAUGGCCCUGAGAAGGGUCUCGGAGCGGCUGUUGAGCCGUGGACCAGGUCUGAGCUUCCUGCGCGGGUGGGGCUCGGCGGCGGCGCAAACUGAAAAGGGCGGGAAGACACAGAAAGGAGCGACUAAGUCCUCGCGUCCUGAAUUUGACUGGAGAGACCCGCUGAUGCUGGAGGGGCAGCUGACAGCGGAUGAGAUCCUCAUCAGGGACACCUUCCGCACCUAUUGCCAGGAGCGCCUCAUGCCCCGAAUCCUGCUGGCCAAUCGCAACGAAGUUUUUCACCGGGAGAUCAUCUCAGAAAUGGGGGAGCUUGGUGUGCUGGGCCCCACCGUCAAAGGGUAUGGCUGUGCUGGAGUCUCGUCUGUGGCCUAUGGGCUCCUAGCCCGAGAGCUGGAGCGGGUGGAUAGCGGCUACAGGUCAGCAAUGAGUGUCCAGUCUUCCCUUGUCAUGCACCCCAUCUACGCCUAUGGCAGCAAGGAGCAGCAGCAGAAGUACCUGCCCCGGCUGGCCAAGGGGGAGCUCCUGGGCUGCUUUGGGCUCACAGAGCCCAACCAUGGGAGUGACCCUGGCAGCAUGGAGACCAGAGCCCGCCACAACCCAUCCAACAGGAGCUACACCCUCAAUGGGACCAAGACCUGGAUCACCAAUUCACCUGUGGCUGACCUGUUUGUCGUAUGGGCUCGGUGUGAAGACAGCUGCAUUCGGGGCUUCCUGCUGGAGAAGGGGAUGCGGGGCCUCUCAGCCCCCAAGAUUGAGGGCAAGUUCUCCCUGCGGGCCUCGUCCACAGGCAUGAUCGUCAUGGACAAUGUGGAGGUGCCGGAGGAGAAUGUGCUGCCUGAUGUAUCUGGUCUGGCGGGGCCCUUCGGCUGCCUGAACAAUGCCCGGUUUGGCAUUGCCUGGGGCGUGCUCGGAGCUGCUGAAUUCUGUUUGCACACGGCCCGGCAGUACACCCUGGAUAGGAUCCAGUUUGGCGCCCCACUGGCCAGGAACCAGCUGAUUCAGAAGAAGCUGGCAGAUAUGCUCACUGAGAUCGCGCUGGGCCUUCACGCUUGCCUGCAGCUUGGACGCUUGAAGGAUCAAGACAAGGCCACUCCGGAAAUGGUCUCCCUGCUGAAGAGGAAUAACUGUGGGAAGGCCCUGGAUAUCGCCCGCCAGGCCCGAGACAUACUAGGGGGGAAUGGGAUUUCUGAUGAGUAUCACGUAAUCCGGCAUGCCAUGAACCUGGAGGCUGUGAACACCUAUGAAGGUAUCUACCCAAAAGAAAUGAAAAUGUAUGUCUCUGCCAAAAUUCAUACAAGGAUAUUUGCAGCAGCAUUACUCACAAGAACCAAAAUGCAGCAACAACUCAAAUGUCCAUCAGCCAACGAAUGGCUAAGUAAAACAUGAAAGUCAGCUUGGCAAUAGACCCAGAAUAGCCAACACAAUAUUGAAGUAGAAGAACAAAGUUGGAGGACUGAUGUUCCUUGACCUCAAGACUGACUAUAAAGCUGCAGUGAUCCAGAUGGUGUGGUACUGGUAUAGGAAUAGGUAACAGAUCAAUGGAACAGAAUAGAGAGCCCAGAAAUAGGCCCACACGUAUAUAGUCAACAGUUCUUUGACAAAAGAGCAAAGAAAUUCAAUGGAGAAAGGAGUCUUUUCAACAAAUGGUGCUGAAAUAACUGGACAGCCAUGGACAGAAGAAUGAGACACAGACCUCAUACUUUCACACAAACUAACUCAAAAUGUAGCACAGACCUAAAUGUCAAACACAAAGCUAUCAAACUCCUGGAAGAUAUCAUAGGAAAAAGAUCUAGAGGACCAUCUUAGAUGUAAUAUCAACAGAAAACAUUGGAAACAGCAAAUCAACACAACGAGAUACUACUACACACUUGUUAAAAUGGUGAAAAUCCAAAACACUGAUAACAUCAAGUGCUGACAAGGAUGUGGAGCAACAGGAACUCUCUUUCAUUGAUGACAGGCACAGCCACUUUGGAAGACAGUUUGGCAGUUUCUUACAAAACUACAUAUAUUCUUAUCACAUGAUCAAGCCAUGGCGCUCCUCGGUAUUUAUCCAAAGGAACUGAAAACUUGCGUCUGCACAAAGACCUGCACAUGAAUGUUUAUAGCAGCUUUAUUCAGAAUUGCCAAAACCUGGAAGCAACCAAGACGUCCUGCAGUAGGUGAGUGGAUAAACAAACUGUGGGACAUCCAGACAAUGGAAUAUUAUUCAGCACUAAAAAGAAAUGAGCUAUCAAGCCAUGAAAAGAUACAGAGGAACCUUAAGUGCAUACUGCUAAGUGAAAGAAAGAAAGCUCCAAGAGAGCAGAAAUUCUGAUUUGUUCACUGCUGCAUGCUCAUCAUCAUUGUCUGGCCAAAGCAGACCCUCAAGAAAUAUAUGGUGAAUAAAUAAAUGUAUGAGACAAAAACUUUUUUUGU